rnacentral:rRNA from 1 species
GAUGAACGCUGGCGGCGUGCCUAAUACAUGCAAGUCGAGCGAAUGGAUUAAGAGCUUGCUCUUAUGAAGUUAGCGGCGGACGGGUGAGUAACACGUGGGUAACCUGCCCAUAAGACUGGGAUAACUCCGGGAAACCGGGGCUAAUACCGGAUAACAUUUUGAACCGCAUGGUUCGAAAUUGAAAGGCGGCUUCGGCUGUCACUUAUGGAUGGACCCGCGUCGCGUUAGCUAGUUGGUGAGGUAACGGCUCACCAAGGCAACGAUGCGUAGCCGACAGGAGAGGGUGAUCGGGCACACUGGGGCGGAGACACGGCCCAGAGUCCUACGGGGGGCAGCAGUAGGGAAUCUUCCGCAAUGGACGAAAGUCUGACGGAGCAACGCCGCGUGAGUGAUGAAGGCUUUCGGGUCGUAAAACUCUGUUGUUAGGGAAGAACAAGUGCUAGUUGAAUAAGCUGGCACCUUGACGGUACCUAACCAGAAAGCCACGGCUAACUACGUGCCAGCCGCCGCUGUAA